CCCCAAAUUUCCAUUGUCGUCCACCAUUCAUGAAAUUUCCCUUUUCCUUCAUUCAUUAUACUUUUCUUUAUUGGUUUAAGGAGUGCAGUGCUUUCAUAUUACACCAACCAGAAACAUCAAACAGAGUCAUUAAACUCAACAAGGGAGAAGGUGAUGAUUAGAGGUGUUACGUGUUGGUCUCAAGACGAAGUGGUGGUCGCCGGAAGACGAUUCACUCCCACUUCUGGAGGUCCAUUGCUGAAGAUGAACCUGGUUGGAGUGAAAAAGAGGAUCCGAAACAAUGGAAGAUUCUGGAAAGUUUUGGAGAAUGGUGAAAGUGAAGAUGGAAAAGAGACGGAGAUGGGUGUGUAGGAGGAAGAAAGUAAGAAAGUCCAUAAACGAUAAUGAGCCUGUUAGUUCCAGGUAUGCCUUUAAAUACAAAAUUGUUUUAUACACCCCCACAAUUUGUUUCUUACACUACAAUUAUAAAGUUUGUAUGUAAAAGUUUUUAAACUACC
rnacentral:lncRNA from 1 species